AUGACCUUGAUGGGCUCCAAGAACAGUAUCGAUCCCAAACUAAUCCCAAACCAGGGCUGCAGUGUGUCAAUGUCAAUGUACACUGGUAACAGGGCAGAGAGAAGAAUGUGCCAGUCAAGGCACUUAUCCAGUGAGACAGAGAGAGAGAGAAAGAGACAGAGAUGGCGACAUACAGUGCGUUCGUACAACUGUCUGUCGAUCAGAUCACACAUUCCUGUACACAAUGCACAAUGUUUCUGACAGAGAUCCUGUUGAGAAAUAGGAAAACAAACCGAAAUUGCAUUACAUUCCAUGUUCCAUUUCCACAUGGUGGAAUGGAAGAGAGUGGCUCGAAAGUGCCUCAUGGUAUGGCAGCGAUGGUGUUAUUUUAUUAGUGAAUAACAUUAUCAGGCCCACACAGCUAAAUGAAUCACUCAGCGAUGGAAAUGAAGCCUCCUACAGAGCCAGAGAAUCAUAGUGUAUUACUUUAAUUUCACCAGUUCAAGGGGGGGCCUCGGGCUCCACUUUACUACUCAUAUAUUUAGAUACGUUUGGAAAUGUGAGACUCCCCUCCGUUGAAUUGGAAUUCCCGAAAAGCAGCAGCUCGUAGUAAAAAAAAUGUUUUUAAAGGAAAAAUAAAAGAUUAGUGACCGUAUUCAUAAAGCAUAAAGCUCAGAGUAGGACUGCUGAUCUAGGAUCAGGUCCCCCCUGCCCAUGUAGCCUAAUCGUAUUCAAAACAGAUCCUAGAUCAGCACUCCUACUCCGUAGCACUUUAUGAAUACAGGAACAGGGUGUCUAGCCUGCUAGCUACAGCCUUGGGAUCUGAGCUGUUCUGUGAGAUUCCUCUGCUCGAUGAAAAGUGGGUGUAACUGUCUGUGAGAUCACAUUGUGACCGAACCAUCUUGUUAUCUAUGUAGCUGCAUUAUAAAUGGGAAUCCAGACAGGAGGAGUACACACGAUUUGUCUGAGGGAGGAGAACACUCUGCUGCCAUGAAUCACAAGCAGGGAUUUUCCUCCGAAUCAGUUGGAUUCAUCCGCUGAGCUCGAGCUACUUCAAUCUCCUGCCAAUACUAACCAUAUAGGAGUUCAGUAAGGGCAGACACAUAGAAACGCGCACACACACACACAUUUACACAGUGUAGUAGUGGGCUAAAAAAACGACAAGGAGACAUAUCUCACAACUGCCGGCUACAUUCAUGCCACCGGCACCAUGUUUGUGUGGCUGCUGCUGCUAGGGGAUUGGAACUGUGUUUCACUGUCUGUCAAACCCUGUUUCUAUGGAAAUGGACACAGGCGGUGGAUGGAAAGAGGACUGCAAGUCAAGCAGCUCCUCCACCCACCACAUCUCACACAGAGUCAUAGAGACAGAACAGCUAGCUAGCUAACCACACCCAGACGGAUGUCCAGUCCAGCGACAGCAGCACAGCCAGACAGAGACAUGCACCAGAGACAUGGACCAGAGACAUGGACCAGGCAGGCCUGAACAGCUUCCUCUGUGACUGUGGAGAGAAGCCUUGUGCGAGGCUGCUGUGAGGAUGUCAACAGAGCCCAUAUGAAAGGACCAGUGUGGUUGUGGAGGGGAUUGAGGGUUCAAAGAUAUGCAGUCGGGGGGAGGGAGGGUGCCGUUUGGGGUCUUCCUCUGGGUUUCUUGGAAUGCCAAGUCACGAAGCUGAAGCAAUAACACAUUUCUCAUGCGGAGCAGCUGGAACUGUAACACACAAGCCCCUCCAUGUCAACAACAGCACAGGAUCAGAAACAUGAACUGACAGACAUCCUAUUCACUUAGCCACUUAGCCUCGAGUCCAGGCUUCCUGUACGAUACUUGGGACUGGGCGUACAGUAACACGAGACUGCUUGGAAGUCAUUGUUAGACAGUGUACUACUACUAUAUGCUACAGGCGGGUGGAAGGAGAUCAUAUGGAUAUGGAGGGAUAGCCAUGGGGUCUGGCUUUAUGAGCCAGACAAUAGCUCCCAACCCCUCCGCAGUGCAAUUUGCCUGCAGCCGGGUUCUCAUUUGACACCAAAACCUUUCAUUACCUGCUCAGUUUCCAAUCGGCUCUUCCUGUGGCUCUUUCCUGGAAUUUAAUACCAUCACACUUAAGCCCCUUUGAAGGCUGAUGAGAAAGUGAGAAAGAGAGAGUGAAAGAGAGCGAGAGAGACAGACAGACAGACAGACAGACAGACAGACGACAGACAGACAGACAGACAGACAGAGACAGAGAAUGCUAAAUCCAAAUAUGGCAUGCUCAGCAGACAGAUUGAUUUUGCACCAGGAGGUAAACAGAGCGAGAAUGAUGGAUAGACAUAUGUGAUUAUGUAGUAUGUAGAGAAGGAAUGGGAUGAUUGGGAAAUCUCCCUUUGCCCAUCUGCACUAUGUGUUAGCUGUCUGUCUAUGUCUGUCUCUCUGUCUGUCUGUCUCUAUCUUCCCCCUUCCCACCAUCCCAAUCCCACCUCUCUACAAAAUCUAUAAUGUCCUCUCCUGCAUAGCUCAACUCGUGCUCCUUUCCUUUGUCCCUGUAAGCUUUCAUUACUCGGGAUGGAUGCUGAAGAUAUCAGCAGAUACAAUCUAGUGCUCCCCCAGCCUUCUCUCUCCUCUCUUCUUCUUCAAUUCCCUCACCAUCCCCCCUCCAUCUCAGCCUUCUGUAUCAGUGCUUCCUCAGCCUAUGGGCAGAGCGAGUGCACUGGUCUGGUGUGUGAGCAGAGGUCACUUCUCUGCUGCUGCUGCUGCUGCUACUGU
rnacentral:lncRNA from 13 species